rnacentral:misc_RNA from 1 species
GAUGAAGAACGUAGCGAAAUGCGAUAAGUAAUGUGAAUUGCAGAAUUCAGUGAAUCAUCGAAUCUUUGAACGCACAUUGCGCCCGCCAGUAUUCUGGCGGGCAUGCCUGUUCGAGCGUCACUACAACCCUCAGGCCCCCGGGCCUGGCGUUGGGGAUCGGCGGAAGCCCCCUGCGGGCACAACGCCGUCCCCCAAAUACAGUGGCGGUCCCGCCGCAGCUUCCAUUGCGUAGUAGCUAACACCUCGCAACUGGAGAGCGGCGCGGCCACGCCGUAAAACACCCAACUUCUGAAUGUUGACCUCGAAUCAGGUAGGAAUACCCGCUGAACUUAAGCAUAUCAAUAAGCGGAGGA